GUCUAUAGCCAUACCACCCCCAAUGCUCCCAAUCUCGUUCCAUCUCGGAAGCUAAGCAGGGUCUGGCCUGGUUAGUACUUGGAUGGGAGACCACCUGGGAAUACUGGGUGGUGUGGGCU
rnacentral:rRNA from 1 species